rnacentral:rRNA from 1 species
AUUGAACGCUGGCGGCAUGCCUUACACAUGCAAGUCGAACGGCAGCACGUCCCCUCGGGGAUGGUGGCGAGUGGCGAACGGGUGAGUAAUACAUCGGAACGUGCCCUGAAGUGGGGGGUAACGUAGCGAAAGUUACGCUAAUACCGCAUAUUCUGUGAGCAGGAAAGCAGGGGAUCUUAGGACCUUGUGCUUUAGGAGCGGCCGAUGUCGGAUUAGCUAGUUGGUGGGGUAAAGGCCUACCAAGGCGACGAUCCGUAGCGGGUCUGAGAGGAUGAUCCGCCACACUGGAACUGAGACACGGUCCAGACUCCUACGGGAGGCAGUAGUGGGGAAUUUUGGACAAUGGGCGCAAGCCUGAUCCAGCCAUGCCGCGUGAGUGAAGAAGGCCUUCGGGUUGUAAAGCUCUUUCGGCGGGGAAGAAAUUGCGUGGGUUAAUACCCUGCGUAGAUGACGGUACCCGCAUAAGAAGCACCGGCUAACUACGUGCCAGCCGCCGCAGUAA